AAAACAAUUUACUUUGUGGAUUCCUACAUUUACAGAUCCCUCAGUGCCGUGCAUCUGCGAGCCAGCCUUCAAAGCUACAAAGCUACGUACUCUACCUGAGAUGCGACUCAGAAUACCUCAGAUCUCCUUCCCAAGUGUGGCGGACUUUCUCCAUCUCGCCGUUGUGGUCCCCUUUCCCCCCCAUACUAAACACACUAGCACUUCAUUUUAAACGUUAUAAUAUUUAAACCAAAAACUUAACACAUACUUAACUAAAAAUCCCUAUACUAAUGUCUCGUGGCGCGUCCGCCUAUUCCCGACUCUUCAACUUAAAUUAAUGGGUGGGAAUAAUCACAAAAAUAAUAAAUAUAAAUAAUAAAAUAAAUAUAAAUACAAAUACUACAUUUAUAUUACAUUAAUAUGGUCGGUAAAUAUAUGUGGGAUGGCUAAUUAAUUAAAUAUUAAUUAAUAUAGAUAGAUAUUAUUUUGGUGUGUCUUUAUAUAUGCAUGUAGAUAGGUAUGCGUUUAUGUAGGCAUGGAUUAAUUAUUUAAUUGUCGGUGGCGCUGUGGCGAGUCGCGCCCGGGCAGGGGUGUGACCAGGAUUCCGCGGGCCGGGGAAUCGUAAUUUUGGCCCAUCUACGGGAAGCCAGCCGAUACAAUUUACGCCUUUUUAUUUCGAUUCGGGUAAAAGGGUCCUCUACGUUGGCCGGUCUGUUUGUUUUCUUAAACGGUCACACACACAAAACGCCCUAACACUGCCGAUGUUUAUUUUCCCACUCCGGCAUGUUCAGCGUAGCUACUCUACGCAGUCCCCCUUGCUGCAGCUGAUCUCAUUGAACCAAAUUCAAGGGCAUAGCAUGGCAUUCUUGAGGGUGUGGGUGAGCUGGCUCGUGGAUCCCGCAAUAUUCCCCUCUCUUACAUUCUCCCGCUCUCUCACCGGCACCGUUGAUCGCCUUGCCCCUUCGCCUAUCGACCUAUCAACAUCCAAAAAAAAUACUACCAAAUCUAGUAUUUUGCAUAUCGCUCUCCUUCGAAUGCAACAAGUAUGUACAUUAUACAUGUAUUAUAUUACACAUGUAUAUAUUUAAAUUAUGUACACAAAUAAAAAAAAAUAGGUACGCGGUGGGUCUAUGCAGAUUUUAGUGCCAUGCUUGGGCAUCAAAUUUGAGUCAGUUGUCCAAAUCUCGAUUUGCCGAUGGGAGUCGGAGGAAAAUGUGCAAGUGUUAAUGUGCGCCUUGCCAGCAAACAUGCCUCCAUGUCCCGUUCCGUCAAAACUCC
rnacentral:lncRNA from 1 species